GAUGAACGCUGGCGGCGUGCUUAACACAUGCAAGUCGAACGAGAAGUGAAGACGGAAACCUUCGGGCGGAAGGCUUUAUUUCGAGUGGCGGACGGGUGAGUAACGCGUGGGUAACCUGCCUCAUACAGGGGGAUAACAGUUGGAAACGACUGUUAAUACCGCAUAAGACCACAGCACCGCAUGGUGCGGGGGUAAAAACUCCGGUGGUAUGAGAUGGACCCGCGUUCGAUUAGCCAGUUGGCGGGGUAACGGCCCACCAACGCGACGAUCGAUAGCCGAUCUGAGAGGAUGACCGGCCACAUUGGGACUGAGACACGGCCCAAACUCCUACGGGAGGCAGCAGUGGGGAAUAUUGCACAAUGGGGGAAGCCCUGAUGCAGCGACGCCGCGUGAGUGAAGAAGUAUUUCGGUAUGUAAAGCUCUAUCAGCAGGGAAGAAAAUGACGGUACCUGAGUAAGAAGCCCCGGCUAACUACGUG
rnacentral:rRNA from 1 species